GCUUUCCAAAGUUUCCACCAACUCCCCGGGCGAAGGGCGGGGGAGAGGCGAGCGCUGGGCAAUAUUAGAAUUAAAAGUUACUUUUCCGAAGGCGCCUCCGGGUCGGCCGUCCGACGGGCUGCAGAGCGCCAGGGCGAGAGGAGUCGACUUCGUCCCCCAGCGCCCGCCCCGCCUCGUGUGCCAAGGGCGUUGCCCAGAGAGGGGAACAGAAGUCCUCCAGGAUUGAUGGGUUGGAACUCACUUCAGAUGUGGCCAAAAGAUCACUGAUCUCCAGAUCAUAUUUAGCUCUCAUGAAACAUAUAUCUGAACAGACUGCAAAAGAACUGCCUUUUAGUCAAAGCUCAUCUACGGUCCGGCCUGAACAGCCCUGAACAGUCAUUCCCUGCACUGGAGAGGCAUUCUUCCCUCUUCAAGGCCCUCUGAAUAGGUACUGGCUGUGCCUGGACAACACUGUUUUCCCA
rnacentral:lncRNA from 1 species